rnacentral:rRNA from 1 species
GACGAACGCUGGCGGCGUGCUUAACACAUGCAAGUCGAACGGAAAGGCCUCUUUCGGGGGGUACUCGAGUGGCGAACGGGUGAGUAACACGUGAGUAACCUGCCCUUGACUUUGGGAUAACUUCAGGAAACUGGGGCUAAUACCGGAUAGGAGCUCCUGCUGCAUGGUGGGGGUUGGAAAGUUUCGGCGGUUGGGGAUGGACUCGCGGCUUAUCAGCUUGUUGGUGGGGUAGUGGCUUACCAAGGCUUUGACGGGUAGCCGGCCUGAGAGGGUGACCGGCCACAUUGGGACUGAGAUACGGCCCAGACGCCUACGGGAGGCAGCAGUGGGGAAUAUUGCACAAUGGGUGGAAGCCUGAUGUAGCAACGCCGUGUGCGGGAUGACGGCCUUCGGGUUGUAAACCGCUUUCGCUCAUGACGAAGCUUUGUGUGACGGUAGUGGGUAAAGAAGCACCGGCUAACUACGUG